UCCCUGGGUCACAGCUGCUGGGCUGGGGGUUCCCUGGGAGUCGCUCCCCUAGAAACCGCGUCCCCUGCUGAGACUCCGGGCUGGGGGCUGGAGCGGAAGGUGCUGAGUGUGUAACGCUUGUGCCAGGAGCUCCAGGUGGUGUUUGAGUACGUCGCUCUGUAUUUCACCCGGGAGGAGUGGGAGCUCUUAACCCGGCCAGAGAAGCAGCUGUACCAGGACCAGAUGCUGAGGAAUUACCAGGCCCUCGUUUUCCUGGGCUGUUCAGGUUCCACACCGGACUUAAUCCACCGGAUCGAGCUAGGGGAGGCAGAGCUCUGGAUCUGGGAUGCCGAGAACUCCAGGGAAAGCUCAGGGUCUGAAAGCCUGUCCUCGGCGUGGAGAGCACAGGUGACCACAGAUAGCUCAUCAGCACAGGUAACCAUGCAGUCCGAG